rnacentral:rRNA from 1 species
UACGUAGGGUGCAAGCGUUAUCCGGAAUUAUUGGGCGUAAAGAGCUCGUAGGCGGUUUGUCACGUCUGCUGUGAAAACUGGAGGCUCAACCUCCAGCCUGCAGUGGGUACGGGCAGACUAGAGUGCGGUAGGGGAGACUGGAAUUCCUGGUGUAGCGGUGAAAUGCGCAGAUAUCAGGAAGAACACCGGUGGCGAAGGCGGCCUGCUGGGCAGUAGCUGACACUGAGGCGCGACAGCGUGGGGAGCAAACAGG